rnacentral:tRNA from 1 species
GGCUCCAUAGCGUAAUGGUUAACACGUCUGCUUUACACGCAGAAGGUCCUGGGUUUGUGCCCCAGUGGGGUCA